CCUACGGGGGGCAGCAGUAGGGAAUCUUCCACAAUGGGCGAAAGCCUGAUGGAGCAACGCCGCGUGGGUGAAGAAGGUCUUCGGAUCGUAAAACCCUGUUGUUAGAGAAGAAAGUGCGUGAGAGUAACUGUUCACGUUUCGACGGUAUCUAACCAGAAAGCCACGGCUAACUACGUGCCAGCAGCCGCGGUAAUACGUAGGUGGCAAGCGUUAUCCGGAUUUAUUGGGCGUAAAGGGAACGCAGGCGGUCUUUUAAGUCUGAUGUGAAAGCCUUCGGCUUAACCGGAGUAGUGCAUUGGAAACUGGGGGACGUGAGUGCAGAAGAGGAGAGCGGAACUCCAUGUGUAGCGGUGAAAUGCGUAGAUAUAUGGAAGAACACCAGUGGCGAAAGCGGCUAUCUGGCCAGUAACUGACGCUGAGGUUCGAAAGCGUGGGUAGCAAACAGGAUUAGAUACCCGGGUAGUC
rnacentral:rRNA from 1 species